rnacentral:rRNA from 1 species
AAAGGCUCCUUCGGGGGCCGAGUAGAGUGGCGCACGGGUGAGUAACACGUAGGUAAUUUGCCUUCGGGUGGGGAAUAACAGCCGGAAACGGCUGCUAAUACCGCAUAAUGCAGCGGCUCGACAUCGAGACAGUUGUUAAAGCGGGGGAUCGCAAGACCUCGCGCCUGAAGAGAAGCCUGCGGCAGAUUAGCUAGUUGGUAGGGUAAUGGCCUACCAAGGCAACGAUCUGUAACCGGCCUGAGAGGGCGGUCGGUCACACUGACACUGACAUACGGGUCAGACUCCUACGGGAGGCAGCAGUCGGGAAUUUUGGGCAAUGGGCGAAAGCCUGACCCAGCAACGCCGCGUGAAGGAUGAAAUCCCUCGGGAUGUAAACUUCGCAAGAAUGGGAAGAAUAAGUUCUGGCUAAUAUCCAGAACGAUGACGGUACUAUUUGUAAGCUCCGGCUAACUCCGUGCCAGCAGCCGCGGUAAUACGGGGGGAGCAAGCGUUGUUCGGAUUUACUGGGCGUAAAGGGCGCGUAGGCGGCCACGACAAGUCACUUGUGAAAUCUCCGGGCUUAACUCGGAACGGUCAAGUGAUACUGUCGGGCUAGAGUACAGAAGGGGCAACUGGAAUUCUCGGUGUAGCGGUGAAAUGCGUAGAUAUCGAGAGGAACACCUGCGGCGAAGGCGGGUUGCUGGGCUGAUACUGACGCUGAUGCGCGAAAGCCAGGGGAGCGAACGGGAUUAGAUACCCCGGUAGUCCUGGCCUUAAACGAUGAAUGCUUGGUGUCUCGGGUUACAUA